GAUCAUGGCUCAGGAUGAACGCUAGCUACAGGCUUAACACAUGCAAGUCGAGGGGCAGCAUGGUCUUAGCUUGCUAAGGCCGAUGGCGACCGGCGCACGGGUGAGUAACGCGUAUCCAACCUGCCUUACACUCUUGGACAGCCUUCUGAAAGGGAGAUUAAUACAAGAUGUUAUCAUGAGUAAGCAUUUUCGCAUGAUUAAAGGUUACGCGGUAG
rnacentral:rRNA from 1 species